rnacentral:rRNA from 1 species
AGCAGGGAAGAAGCGCAAGUGACGGUACCUGCAGAAGAAGCGCCGGCUAACUACGUGCCAGCAGCCGCGGUAAUACGUAGGGCGCAAGCGUUGUCCGGAAUUAUUGGGCGUAAAGAGCUCGUAGGCGGCUUGUCGCGUCGGAUGUGAAAGCCCGGGGCUUAACCCCGGGUCUGCAUUCGAUACGGGCAGGCUAGAGUGUGGUAGGGGAGAUCGGAAUUCCUGGUGUAGCGGUGAAAUGCGCAGAUAUCAGGAGGAACACCGGUGGCGAAGGCGGAUCUCUGGGCCAUUACUGACGCUGAGGAGCGAAAGCGUGGGGAGCGAACAGGAUUAGAUACCCUGGUAGUCCACGCCGUAAACGUUGGGAACUAGGUGUUGGCGACAUUCCACGUCGUCGGUGCCGCAGCUAACGCAUUAAGUUCCCCGCCUGGGGAGUACGGCCGCAAGGCUAAAACUCAAAGGAAUUGACGGGGGCCCGCACAAGCAGCGGAGCAUGUGGCUUAAUUCGACGCAACGCGAAGAACCUUACCAAGGCUUGACAUCGCCCGGAAAGCAUCAGAGAUGGUGCCCCCCUUGUGGUCGGGUGACAGGUGGUGCAUGGCUGUCGUCAGCUCGUGUCGUGA